UACGUAGGGUCCGAGCGUUGUCCGGAAUUAUUGGGCGUAAAGGGCUCGUAGGCGGUCUGUUGCGUCGGGAGUGAAAACUUACAGCUUAACUGUGAGCGUGCUUUCGAUACGGGCAGACUUGAGGCAUUCAGGGGAGAACGGAAUUCCUGGUGUAGCGGUGAAAUGCGCAGAUAUCAGGAGGAACACCGGUGGCGAAAGCGGCUCACUGGACCAUAACUGACGCUGAUGCACGAAAGCUAGGGGAGCAAACAGG
rnacentral:rRNA from 1 species